GCGGGAGUAGCUCAGUUGGUAGAGCAUCUGCUUGCCAAGCAGAAGGUCGCCGGUUCGAGCCCGGUCUCCCGCU
rnacentral:tRNA from 1 species